UUCUUCCUUUUUCUUUUCCCAAUCUUCCUCUCCUUCCUCUCCUUCCUCUUCUUCCUUUUCUUCCUCUUCUUCCUCUUCCCCUUCUUUCACUUCCUCUUUCCCAUCUUCCUCUUCUUCCCUUUAUCUUUUCCCUCUUCUUCUUCCUCUUCCUGCUCUUCUUUCUCUUUUUCGUUUCUGUUUUACUCAUAUAUCCACCUAUUUAAAAUUGUCAGUGAUGAUUUUGGUUAUCUAUUUAUGAAGAAAAAUUGAGAACAGCAUUGUGGUUUCUCCUUAACAUGUGUGUGGUUCGGGGUUUGGGUUUGGUUUAGGCUUUGGUUCUUGUUGUUCGCAGCUGUCUCCUGGCCCCUACAAUGUCUGUCCUGGUGCCCCAGUGCUUCGCUAAGACCUCUUUGUAAUAAAACUUCUGAAAAGUGGC
rnacentral:lncRNA from 1 species